CAUGCUAUAUAUAUAUGAUUUAUGUUGUUUUCUCCCUGUCCCACGUCCCCCCAUCUCUCCUUCCCUCCUCACGCGAAUCAACAACUGUGAAGGCUGGAUUUCCCAAACAGCUUUAUUGAGAUGUAAUUUACAUCCCAUCAAGUUCAGCCAGCUAGUGUCCAAUUUAACGGGUUUUAGCAUAUUCACGAAGUUGUGCAACUAUCACCAUAAGUAAAUUUUAGAACAUUUUCCUCACCCAGAAAAGAAUCCCCAUGCCCAUUAGCAGUUCCUCCCCAUGACAGAGGGAGGGCAGGAUUUUGCCGGUUUUGGUCACCAUUGAACCCUAGCCCAGCACAGUGCCUGCCAGACAGUAGGGACCCAACAUUCCCACCCCCAGAAGGUUUAUGUUCUAAAAGGCAGAGGCAGAUAAUAUAAUAAACCAAAUAAAUAUGUAAAUCACGUGGUCUGUUAGCCAUUAUCAUUAGAAUGUAGUCUUUAUUAAUUAUUCAACAUACAUUUAUUGGGAACCUACUGUGUGGCAAGGACAUGGAGUUGGGCAAUAAAUAGACAACAAACUGUAGCCCUCAUGAAGGUUAUAUUCUGGUCGGGGUGAGAGACAACAAACUAGGUUAAAAAGGGGGCGGGGCACAAUGGCUCACGCCUGUAAUCCCAGCACUUUGGAGGCCGAGUCGGGUGGAUCACCUGAGGUCAGGAGUUCGAGACCAGCCUGCCCAACAUUGCGAAACCCUGUCUCUAAUAAAAACACAAAAAAAUUAGCCAGGAGUGGUGGUGGACGCCUGUAAUCCCAGCUACUCGGGAGGCUGAGGCAGAAGAAUCGCUUGAACCCGGGAGGCGGAGGUUGCAGUGAGCUGAGAUCACACCACUUGCACUCCAGCCUGGGAGAUAAGAGCAAAACUCCGUCUCAAAAAAAAAAAAAAAAAAAAAGUGAACUAUAUGUCAGUAGCGGGUGAUAAGCAUGCAGAAGGUGCUCAGUUCAUGCCAGGCUUUUAAAUUAUAAUUUAAUCUCCAUUCAUUAAUUCAAGAAUCUUCCUUCGUGCCAGGCAUUGUGAUAUGGCAGUUAACAAAACAGACCCCAGUCCCUGCCCUUGUGAGGAUUGGAUUCUGGCAGAGAGAAAGAGACAGUAACAAGAUAAGGAACAAGGAAGUUGCAUGUUCGAAGAGGAUGGGCACACGGCAGGUGGUCAAUUAGUGUUAGUUAUUAGCAGCACAUCCCCAUUCACUCAGUGAAUGCCCCUCGGUGUCCUUGGGCUCAGGAAGUGCCCUGCUUAGUGCAUCCUAAUGGCUGUUGCCACGACUCCCCUCCGAAAGCCUGGCGCAGCGGCAGUUUGGGGGCGGAUGGUGGCUUCGAGGUUUGGUGGAGCUGGAGAUCCGGAGGUCGGAGUCGGGGCAAGGUCCCAAAUGGGGAUGCGGCCGCGGCGUCCUCAGCUCUGAGGGAUCCCUGGGAAUAGUCACUGGCGGCGUUGGCCCAGAAGGAGCGGGGGCGGGAUAAAGAGAGCAGGAAGCGGAGGACGGAGCUUGGGGGUCCCCGACGGUUGGGGACAGGAAGAAGACCUGGAGGACUGCGGGGAGGGGCGAGGCGGCGGCGCACGUGGAGGGAGAGGUCGGCUUCUGGGGGUCCUGUAGGGGUGCCCGGCCAUCUUUAGGGAUGGGUCAGAAGGCAGAGGCACGUGGGUGCCACAGCGGCCUCUAGGGGUGCACGGACGGCGGCCAAACCUCCCCGUGUGUCCCCUGUGGCGCCUCUCCCUUGCUUUCCUGUUGGUGGUGUGUGUGUGUGGGAGAGUUGGGUGUUAGAUUUUGACCAGGAUGGCCUGACUUUGGGAACGGUUUUGUGGGAAGCUCUUUCAGGCCACAGAGCCUGUGCUGCCUCAACUCGGUUUUUUGGUAGCUCUGGAGAAAAGACAGUGACAGAGGAGGGGUCAUUCUGUCAGGGAAGAAAGACCCUGAUUGGAGGCGGCUGCCUGUCAAACUACACAUUUCCCAGGCUCCCUUGCAGCUAUGGCAACCACAUGCACAGUCCUGAUCAAUGAGAGGGCAGCAGAGGUGGGGCAUCCAGAGGGCUCUUAAAACAGGGCAGCCCCUGGCCCGGGAGUGGUGGCUCACACCCAUAAUCCCAGCACUUUGGGAGACCAAGGCCAGCGGAUCACCAGGUCAGGAGUUUGAGACCAGCCUGCCCAAUAUGGCAAAACCCCGUCUCUACUAAAAAUACAAAAAUUAGCCAGGUGUGGUGGUAGGCACCUGUAAUCCCAGCUACUCAGGAGGUUGAGGAAGGAGAAUCACUUGAACCUGGGAGGCAGAGGCUGCAAUGAGCCGAGAUCGUGCCACUGCACUCCAGCCUGGGUGACAAGAGCAAGACUCCAUCUCAAAAAACAAAACAAAACAAGAACGGGGCAGCCCCGGCCCUUCCCCAUCCCUCCUCUUCUUGACUCAGUAAGGCUGUGGUGGUCAGCUUGGGAUCAUAAGGUGGCCAUGAAGAAAAGUCCUGGAAACCUCAGAUCCAACUCCCUUGAGCUGCCAAAGCAAUUCUCACCACGUGGGAGAAAUUCAGCUCUCAGACUGUCCUCCAAUUUCCCACCUGUGGUCAAUGGCAGGCACCCCUUCUGCCAAGAAGCUACCAUGACCACCACAUUCAAGUUAAACCUGGACCUCCCACCAUCCCCAGUCAGGCCAAUGAGACAGUGGGGAAACAGGCCUGGUAAGGAUACUUCCUGCUAGUUUUCUUGCCUUCUCAGCCUAGGGUGUGGGUGUGGCUGGGACUGGCUGUGAGGCUCCUAUUUAUAAGGCAAGCACCCAUUUUCUCAUGGAUUCUACCAUUUUAUAUCCCGUGGAGCCAGUCAAGAUGGCUGCUCUAUUUUCAGUUAGUUUUUUGGGGGCAAUGGAUGGGCAGGGGAUUGACCUGACAGAGACCCACUCCCUCAUUCCUUCAUUACUCAUCGGCUCUGCUGGCCAGGGAUGUGGGGUUCUCCACCUGCUCAAAGUCAAAAAGCUUUCUCCAGGUUUUUUAACAGCUUGUACUUUAUUACAUAUGCAACCUUGCCAUGCCUGCCAGUUAACUCCCCUCCCGC
rnacentral:lncRNA from 1 species